rnacentral:rRNA from 1 species
GACGAACGCUGGCGGCGUGCUUAACACAUGCAAGUCGAACGAAGAGCGAUGGAAGCUUGCUUCUAUCAAUCUUAGUGGCGAACGGGUGAGUAACGCGUAAUCAACCUGCCCUUCAGAGGGGGACAACAGUUGGAAACGACUGCUAAUACCGCAUACGAUCUAAUCUCGGCAUCGAGGAUAGAUGAAAGGUGGCCUCUACGUAAGCUAUCACUGAAGGAGGGGAUUGCGUCUGAUUAGCUAGUUGGAGGGGUAACGGCCCACCAAGGCGAUGAUCAGUAGCCGGUCUGAGAGGAUGAACGGCCACAUUGGGACUGAGACACGGCCCAGACUCCUACGGGAGGCAGCAGUGGGGAAUCUUCCGCAAUGGACGAAAGUCUGACGGAGCAACGCCGCGUGAGCGAUGACGGCCUUCGGGUUGUAAAGCUCUGUUAAUCGGGACGAAAGGCCUUCUUGCGAAUAGUGAGAAGGAUUGACGGUACCGGAAUAGAAAGCCACGGCUAACUACGUG